rnacentral:rRNA from 1 species
UACAGAGGUGUCAAACGUUGUCCGGAAUUACUGGGCGUAAAGGGCGCGUAGGCGGCCUUAUAAGUCAUUUGUGAAAGCUCUGGGCUCAACCCAGGAAUUGCAAGUGAUACUGUAAGGCUUGAGUUCGGUAGAGGAGGGCGGAAUUCCAGGUGUAGCGGUGAAAUGCGCAGAUAUCAGGAGGAACACCAAUUGCGAAGGCAGCUCGCUGGGACGUAACUGACGCUGAGACGCGAAAGCGUGGGGAGCGAACAGG